GUGCACCUCCGUGGCACGUAUACUAAAGUUGCAAUGAUACAGAGAAGAGUAGCAUGGGCCCUGGACAAAAAUGACCAAAAAUUUUAAAAAAUAAAUUAAAACAAGU